rnacentral:antisense_RNA from 1 species
CAAAUUAUGUCUCAAUCUAGCACUAUGAAGAACACCCGCCAUUCCACAAAUUUUGUGAGGAGGUA